GAUUGAACGCUGGCGGCAUGCCUUACACAUGCAAGUCGAACGGCAGCCCGGGUGCUUGCACCUGGUGGCGAGUGGCGAACGGGUGAGUAAUACAUCGGAACAUGUCCUGUAGUGGGGGAUAGCCCGGCGAAAGCCGGAUUAAUACCGCAUACGAUCUACGGAUGAAAGCGGGGGACCUUCGGGCCUCGCGCUAUAGGGUUGGCCGAUGGCUGAUUAGCUAGUUGGUGGGGUAAAGGCCUACCAAGGCGACGAUCAGUAGCUGGUCUGAGAGGACGACCAGCCACACUGGGACUGAGACACGGCCCAGACUCCUACGGGAGGCAGCAGUGGGGAAUUUUGGACAAUGGGCGAAAGCCUGAUCCAGCAAUGCCGCGUGUGUGAAGAAGGCCUUCGGGUUGUAAAGCACUUUUGUCCGGAAAGAAAUCCUUGGCCCUAAUACGGUCGGGGGAUGACGGUACCGGAAGAAUAAGCACCGGCUAACUACGUG
rnacentral:rRNA from 1 species